CGGUAAUGUGAAGAUAUAGCUGUAUAGGCAGCGGUUGUUCUAUAUCUAUAUCUAUAUAUAGUAUAUAUACACACAUGCAUCCAUUCAUUCUUUCUCAAUAGUCAAUUCCCUCUCACCGGAAGUUUUCCCGGCGGAGGAGCACGGCGGAGUAGCGGCAGAAUCUGCAAUUCUUCAAAUAUAAUGGCCGCUAUCUUCAAUAAACUUUUAUUGCUUCUCAUUCUAUCAGCGUCGUUUGUUGGCAUCUUCGGCAUUGGAGUUGGGGUGAACUAUGGACGGAUCGCGAACAAUCUCUUACCUCCAUCUCAAGUAUCAAACCUCCUUAAAUCUUUAAACAUAAAUAGAGUAAAAGUUUACGAUGCAGAUCCCAAAGUGUUACAAGCAUUUGCAGGGACGGAUAUCGAGAUAAUCAUUGGUUUAGGGAACGAGUAUCUUCAACGAAUGAGAGAUCCUCAACAAGCUCAAGCAUGGAUUCAACAAAACGUACAACCUUAUCUUUCGGAAACUAAAAUCACAUGCAUCAAUGUGGGAAAUGAGGUUUUAGGAGGAACGGAUACUCAAUUGGCAGCAUACCUUCUUCCGGCUAUGAAAACUAUGUAUGGAGCUUUAGUUACUCUUGGAUUAAACAAACAAGUUUAUAUAACAACGGCUCAUUCGCUUCAAAUCUUAGGAACUUCUUUCCCACCUUCUCAAGGGGCGUUUAAGGAAGACAUGGUUCAAUACAUAAAGCCGAUUCUUGACUUUCAUGCUCAAGUUGACUCGCCCUUUUUCAUUAAUGCGUAUCCUUAUUUUGCAUACAAAAGUGAUCCAAACAACGUGAAGUUGGAAUACGUUCUUUUUGAACCAAAUGAAGGGUCGGUUGAUCCCAAUACAAAUUUGAAAUAUGAUAAUAUGUUGUAUGCGCAAAUAGAUGCAGUUUAUUCGGCUAUAAAGGCAUUGGGUCAUACCGACGUAGAAGUCAAAAUCUCGGAGACUGGCUGGCCUUCUAAAGGAGAUGAAAAUGAAGCGGGAGCAACGGUACAAAAUGCAGGAAUUUACAAUAGGAAUUUAAUGCAAAGGAUGCAACAAGGGCAAGGUACUCCAGCUCGCCCUUCACAACCGAUUGACAUUUAUAUUUUUGCCCUUUUUAAUGAGAACGAGAAGAACGGUCCAACUUCAGAGAGGAAUUUCGGAUUGUAUUAUCCCGAUGGCACUUUGGUCUAUAACCUUGGUGUAAAGAGCUAUGUUCUUCCAAGAAUUGACUAUUCAUCUUCAUAUAGAAACGAGUUUUCCAUCUUCAAUAUUCUCAUCUUGCUUCUUGGAACCUACUCUUUGCUUAAGAGAUGAAUAUUUAAAAUAGAAUUUAAUGACAAAAUUAUACAUAGGGACCAUUGAGCUCAAGGUCCCUAAAGAGGAUGGUUCUAAAAGGUGAGAGUUUAAGGAUUCACAUUCAUGGCCGCACCAACGUUUUCAGACCAGCAACCUGUCGUCGUCAUAUUUCACAUAUAGAGAUUUCAUGUUUUUUUUAGUUUAAACGAUAUUCAUAGUUAUAUACAUAAUAAAGUACUAUUAUAUUUACAAAUAAACCAGACCCGCAGCAGCGACUAAAACGUCGAUUUAGAGGAAUUGCAGAAUUAUUCUUGUAACAUUUUAUCUUUAUAGGUUACUUUUUCAAAUCAUAUAUUCUUGCUACUGUUUUCUUUGUUAGAUUUCAUACUGUAAUUUUGUAAUUUGAUAUAUAUAUCACUUAUUCUAUUUUGACCAAA